UUUUAUCGAAUGUUAACUAAUAACAAAUUGAUGUCUAUAUUAUUAUUCAAUGCAAGUGAUGAUAUAAUUGGUGGCUUAUUUUUCUGGAUGCCCCUGCAUCUUUUACUCUGAGUGAUGUACGAGUAUGUAUUUUUGAGCAUAGAUUUCAAGACGCAAAUAAACAAACGCAAAUGAUGUAUUAAAUAAAGCACAUAAGUAAGUAUCGAUGUACAUAUCUAUAAAUAUAUGUACAUUGGUCGUAAAUCGUGGUGUUGGUAUAA